rnacentral:piRNA from 1 species
ACACCACUGAUGCCAAGUGUCUGGGUAC